GAUGAACGCUGGCGGCGUGCCUAAUACAUGCAAGUCGAGCGAACAGACGAGGAGCUUGUUCCCCUGCCGUUAGCGGCGGACGGGUGGGUAACACGUGGAUAACCUACCUAUAAGACUGGGAUAACUUCGGGAAACCGGAGCUAAUACCGCAGAAUAUAUUGAACCGCAUGGUUCAAUAGUGCAAGACGGCUUUGCUGUCUCUUAUAGAUGGAUCCGCGCCGCAUUAGCUAGUUGGUAAGGUAACGGCUUACCAAGGCUACGAUGCGUAGCCGACCUGAGAGGGUGAUCGGCCACACUGGAACUGAGACACGGUCCAGACUCCUACGGGAGGCAGCAGUGGGGAAUCUUGCGCAAUGGGCGAAAGCCUGACGGAGCCACGCCGCGUGGGUGAUGAAGGUCUUCGGGUCGUAAAACUCUGUUAUUAGGAAAGAACAGAUGUGUGAGUAACUCUGCACGUUUUGACGGUACCUAAUGAGUAAGCAACGGCUAACUUCGUG
rnacentral:rRNA from 1 species